rnacentral:rRNA from 1 species
CACGGCGCACGGGUGCGUAACACGUGGGCAAUCUGCCCUCCGAUGGGGAAUAACCCCGCGAAAGCGGGGCUAAUUCCGCAUAACAUUCCCUGGACCCCGGUUCGGGGAUUCAAAGCCGCAAUGCGUCGGAGGAGGAGCCCGCGCCCGAUUAGCUAGUUGGUGAGGUAACGGCUCACCAAGGCUAUGAUCGGUAGCUGGUCUGAGAGGAUGGCCAGCCACACUGGAACUGAGACACGGUCCAGACUCCUACGGGAGGCAGCAGUGGGGAAUCUUGCGCAAUGGGCGAAAGCCUGACGCAGCGACGCCGCGUGGGGGAUGAAGCUUCUCGGAGUGUAAACCCCUUUCGACCGGGACGAAUGCCCGCAAGGGAGUGACGGUACCGGUAGAAGAAGCCCCGGCUAACUACGUGCCAGCAGCCGCGGUAAGACGUAGGGGGCCAGCGUUGUUCGGAAUUACUGGGUGUAAAGGGUUCGUAGGCGGUGUGGCAAGUCGGGAGUGAAAUUUCUGGGCUUAACUCAGAACCUGCUUCCGAAACUGCUGUGCUGGAGUGUGGGAGAGGCGCGUGGAAUUGCAGGUGUAGCGGUGAAAUGCGUAGAUAUCUGCAGGAACACCCGUGGCGAAAGCGGCGCGCUGGACCACUACUGACGUUGAGGAACGAAAGCUAGGGGAGCAAACAGGAUUAGAUACCCUGGUAGUCCUAGCCCUAAACGAUCAGGACUUGGGGUGCCACCCGUUCGGGUGUCGUCCCGGAGCUAACGCGUUAAGUCCUGCACCUGGGGAGUACGGUCGCAAGACUGAAACUCAAAGGAAUUGACGGGGGCCCGCACAAGCGGUGGAACAUGUGGUUCAAUUCGA